rnacentral:lncRNA from 1 species
CAGGUGGGACCCUAAGAGACGAGGUGCUGGCCCUCCUUAUUCCGCCAGAAGACCACUCCGCGCAGUGUGCAGACUCGUCCCACGAGUAGAGUGCCCCACCUAGAGUUGUACUCUAGAAGGAGUCCCGAGUCUAGAUUUGUACCCCCAGUUGUGUUGUUGUACCGGUCGUGUAGCGCAUGUUUUGGCCCUACCCCAAGUGUUGUAACC